rnacentral:rRNA from 1 species
AUUGAACGCUGGCGGCAUGCCUUACACAUGCAAGUCGAACGGCAGCACGGGUGCUUGCCCCUGGUGGCGAGUGGCGAACGGGUGAGUAAUACAUCGGAACAUGUCCUGUAGUGGGGGAUAGCCCGGCGAAAGCCGGAUUAAUACCGCAUACGAUCUACGGAUGAAAGCGGGGGACCUUCGGGCCUCGCGCUAUAGGGUUGGCCGAUGGCUGAUUAGCUAGUUGGUGGGGUAAAGGCCUACCAAGGCGACGAUCAGUAGCUGGUCUGAGAGGACGACCAGCCACACUGGGACUGAGACACGGCCCAGACUCCGACGGGAGGCAGCAGUGGGGAAUUUUGGACAAUGGGCGAAAGCCUGAUCCAGCAAUGCCGCGUGUGUGAAGAAGGCCUUCGGGUUGUAAAGCACUUUUGUCCGGAAAGAAAUCCUUGGCCCUAAUACGGUCGGGGGAGGACGGUACCGGAAGAAUAAGCACCGGCUAACUACGU